UGGGGAAUAUUGCACAAUGGGCGCAAGCCUGAUGCAGCCAUGCCGCGUGUGUGAAGAAGGCCUCGGAUUGUAAAGCACUUUCAGCGAGGAGGAAGGUGGUGAGCUUAAUACGCUCAUCAAUUGACGUUACUCGCAGAAGAAGCACCGGCUAACUCCGUGCCAGCAGCCGCGGUAAUACGGAGGGUGCAAGCGUUAAUCGGAAUUACUGGGCGUAAAGCGCACGCAGGCGGUUUGUUAAGUCAGAUGUGAAAUCCCCGGGCUCAACCUGGGAACUGCAUUUGAAACUGGCAAGCUAGAGUCUCGUAGAGGGGGGUAGAAUUCCAGGUGUAGCGGUGAAAUGCGUAGAGAUCUGGAGGAAUACCGGUGGCGAAGGCGGCCCCCUGGACGAAGACUGACGCUCAGGUGCGAAAGCGUGGGGCAGCAAACAGGAUUAGAUACCCUGGUAGUCCA
rnacentral:rRNA from 1 species